rfam:Ovis aries breed Texel chromosome 3, whole genome shotgun sequence.
UUCCUGGUGGCUCAGAGGUUAAAGCGUCUGCCUGCAAUGCAGGAGACCUGGGUUCGAUCUCUGGGUCUGGAAG